ACGAACGCUGGCGGCAGGCUUAACACAUGCAAGUCGAACGAGAUCUUCGGAUCUAGUGGCAGACGGGUGAGGAACACGUGGGAACAUCCCUUUCAGUUCGGAAUAACGUUGGGAAACUAACGCUAAUACCGGAUACGUCCUUCGGGAGAAAGAUUUAUCGCUGAAAGAUUGGCCCGCGUCUGAUUAGCUAGUUGGUGAGGUAAUGGCUCACCAAGGCUACGAUCAGUAGCUGAUCUGAGAGGAUGAUCAGCCACAUUGGGACUGAGACACGGCCCAAACUCCUACGGGAGGCAGCAGUGGGGAAUAUUGGACAAUGGGCGCAAGCCUGAUCCAGCCAUGCCGCGUGAGUGAUGAAGGCCUUCGGGUUGUAAAGCUCUUUUAUCCGGGAAGAUAAUGACUGUACCGGAAGAAUAAGCCCCGGCAAACUUCGU
rnacentral:rRNA from 1 species